GAUGAACGCUAGCGGCAGGCCUAAUACAUGCAAGUCGAGGGGUAACAGGUGUAGCAAUACAUGCUGACGACCGGCGCACGGGUACGUAACACGUAUACAAUCUACCUUUAACUGGAGAAUAGCCCGGAGAAAUCCGGAUUAAUACUCCAUAACAGCGGAGAAGGCAUCUUCUCUUCUUGAAAGUUCAGACGGUUAAAGAUGAGUAUGCGCCUGAUUAGUUUGUUGGUGAGGUAACGGCUCACCAAGACUACGAUCAGUAGGGGAUCUGAGAGGAUUAACCCCCACACGGAUACUGAGACACGGAUCCGACUCCUACGGGAGGCAGCAGUAAGGAAUAUUGGACAAUGGCCGCAAGGCUGAUCCAGCCAUGCCGCGUGCAGGAAGACGGCCCUAUGGGUUGUAAACUGCUUUUACACCGGAGAAAACCCCCUUUCGUGAAAGGGGCUGAUAGUAUGGUGAGAAUAAGCAUCGGCUAACUUCGUGCCAGCCGCCGCCGUAAAAC
rnacentral:rRNA from 1 species